rnacentral:rRNA from 1 species
GAGCGCUGAUUACAGGGUAGCAAUAUUCUGUAGUCGGAGCGGCGCAAGGGUGCGUAACACGUGGGUAAUCUGCCAUGAAGUUUGGAAUAACUUGCUGAAAGGCGAGCUAAUGCCGGAUGUGAAAGCCGAGGGGCAUCUCUUGGUUUUCAAAGCUGGGGACCGUAAGGCCUGGCGCUUCAUGAUGAGCCCGCGGCCUAUCAGCUAGUUGGUGAGGUAACGGCCCACCAAGGCUAAGACGGGUAGCUGGUCUGAGAGGACGACCAGCCACACUGGAACUGAGACACGGUCCAGACACCUACGGGUGGCAGCAGUCGAGAAUUUUUCACAAUGGGCGCAAGCCUGAUGGAGCGACGCCGCGUGGGGGAUGAAUGGCUUCGGCCCGUAAACCCCUGUCAUUUGCGAUCAACCGUUAUUAUUUAAAAGAUGAUAACCUGAUAGUAGCGAAAGAGGAAGGGACGGCUAACUCUGUGCCAGCAGCCGCGGUAAUACAGAGGUCCCAAGCGUUGUUCGGAUUCACUGGGCGUAAAGGGUGCGUAGGUGGCGGAGUAAGUCGGAUGUGAAAUCUCCGAGCUCAACUCGGAAACUGCAUUGGAAACUACUCUGCUCGAGGGUUGGAGGGGGGACUGGAAUACUUGGUGUAGCAGUGAAAUGCGUAGAUAUCAAGUGGAACACCAGUGGCGAAGGCGAGUCCCUGGACAACUCCUGACACUGAGGCACGAAAGCUAGGGGGGCAAACAGGAUUAGAUACCCUGGUAGUCCUAGCCGUAAACGGUGCAUGUUUGCUGUAAAAGGAAUCGACCCCUUUUGUGGCGUAGCCAACGCGUUAAACAUGCCGCCUGGGAAGUACGGUCGCAAGAUUAAAACUCAAAUGAAUUGACGG